ensembl:lncRNA
CUCGUAGUUGUCCAAUUCUAAAUGGAGGGGUGGUCUCCUCUCUCAGGAAUUACAGGAACACCAUGAGCAGCAGGUCAAACAAAGACAUCAAGACAUUUAAUAAAGGUUCUUGGACAAUGGAAGCUGCAAAGAAUUGAAAGAAUGUUAUUUCAUAUUAAAGUAAUAGGAAUACAGGUUGACAGUUUCUCCUUGGCAGUUCUGAAAUCUAAAAAAGGCACUGGUUUCUGAGAGAAACAACAGGGACACAAAUAGAAGAGGUGUGCUUUGAGCAAUUCAUGGAACAAAGCUUCCCCACAUCAACCCAGAUGGAGUAGAACUGUAUGGUCCUGAUAAUACCAGAAUCUAAAGGACACAGGGGUCUAAAUAGUGUCUCAGAGAUCUCAUUAGCAGAGUAAGAUUGAGCAUUUCUGAAAUCUCUAUGGAGAACAUCAUUGUUGGGGAC